AAGAUGACUAACAAAUAGCCUACCAAAUAUCAGAAAUUAUAAGCAGAAAAAUAUCUCAAUUAGGCUUGAAAACAAAAAAAUGUCCAUACCCCCUGUCGUUCAUCCGUCCCUGAAUAACCUGAGCAAGUAGACUUUUGAAGUAAUUGUUUGACAAUCAGAUGAAAACAUCAUGACUGGUUCUGUUUAUGCCACAUUAAAAGGUAAUACAUUUUAAAAGUUAAACGACAUAUGUUUUCUAGUAGGCCCAUAGAGAUCCUAAUAAAAUAAUAUGGAUUCUGUAUGUAAUAUUAUGAUUAGGCCAAUCCAUUUAUUUAUUUUUGCUCGUGCACACAUAGGAGUUCUCUGUACCGGGAGGAAAUAAAAUCUACUUUCAUCCCUGAAUGCCAAGCGUCACGUCUGGAGGAAACCUGGCACCAUCCCUAAUGUGAAGGACUACAGUGUCUAAUACAUAACACUAUUAGAACUAACAGUUUAAUAACAACCUAGUUUAGUACUUAAAGGGACAUUUCAGCCCUGGUCUAUUUCACUAUAUAUGUCCAUUAAUAUGUUAUUAACAUAUCCUAUGUGUCAUAAACAUUUUGAAUUUCCUCACUACACACAAAUACGAGCGUUUUUGCGUGUCACCGGUAGAAACGGGUCAGCUACAUUUCGUGGUUGUAAGCAAACCACAAUAUCCAGAAUUCAUAGCGAUUUCGGGACGUAGUACUGCCCCGUGGAGGUGUAUCCAAUUGAUGUGAGAAAUAUCAAAAUAUCUGUGUUUGUAGUUAGAACUUUCAGCCAGAGUAUUUCGAAACGGAACUGAAGUCUCAACUGAUGGGGUUGCCAUGUCGUCGAACGUUGAAAAGUGAUGCUAUUCCAUCAAUUUUCCCCAUCACUUCAAAGAGGAAGGGAUCCAAUCAGCCAACAUCAACGCAGCAGAAAAAAAGUCAAGCUGAGAGUCCAAUCCCAUCAACAUCUGUAGCGGCAUCAACAUCAAGCUCAGCACCAGGAACUAGUACUAAUCCGGCUGCUGAUGAUGACCAUGACACCAGCUUUAGUAGUACAGAGCCUGUAGACCCAUUGGAUGAAAGCUUUCAGCCUGGAAUAAGCUGAAGUUCAACAUCAUCUGACUUUGAAACAAGCCAGGACAGCCAAAGGAGACUUGCAGUACAUGCAAAUCUUCUGCAAGAGGUCGAAGCAGUGGGUGGUGAAGAACAUCUCCGCAGCGCCAAAGACUGGUAAACCAUCUGCCAUUACCCAACACCAGAAGACGUUCACCAGCUGAAGAAUAUUCUGGAACCUGCCUGGAACAUUCAACCAACACGACAUCCAUAUUCAGUUAGACUAAUGUUGUUGUUUAAUAUAGAAUGCCUAGUAUGCUCACUACUGCAUUGUGGUAUAGAUAUUGCUAGCUGUUGUACAUAUGUAUAUAAUGGUGUUUUAUAGCUUUUUUACAAGUGUACUGACAAGUGACUAAAUUAUUCCAGCUUCAUCAGAAACCAAUGAUUCCAGCUGCAUCAGAAACCAAUAAAGUGUUGACUUUAA